rnacentral:rRNA from 1 species
UGGGGGAUAUUGCACAAUGGGCGAAAGCCUGAUGCAGCGACGCCGCGUGGGGGAUGAAGGCUUUCGGGUUGUAAACCUCUUUCGCUAUCGAACAAGGCCCGCUUAGGGUGGGUUGAGGGUAGGUGGAGAAGAAGCGCCAGCUAACUACGUGCCAGCAGCCGCGGUAAUACGUAGGGCGCGAGCGUUGUCCGGAAUUAUUGGGCGUAAAGGGCUUGUAGGCGGCUUGUUGCGCCUGCUGUGAAAACGCGGGGCUUAACUUCGCGCGUGCAGUGGGUACGGGCAGGCUUGAGUGUGGUAGGGGUGACUGGAAUUCCAGGUGUAGCGGUGGAAUGCGCAGAUAUCUGGAGGAACACCGAUGGCGAAGGCAGGUCACUGGGCCAUUACCGACGCUGAGGAGCGAAAGCAUGGGUAGCGAACAGG